AGCAGCCGCGGUAAUUCCAGCUCCAAUAGCGUAUAUUAAAGUUGUUGCAGUUAAAAAGCUCGUAGUUGAAUUUCGGGACCAAUCUGCCGGUCGUGCCUCCGGUAUGCACUGGUUUUAUUGGUUUCUCCCUUCUGACGAAUCAUGAUGUCAUUAAUUUGGUGUCAUGGGGAAUCAGGACUGUUACUUUGAAAAAAUUAGAGUGUUUAAAGCAGGCUCACGCUUGAAUACAUUAGCAUGGAAUAAUGAAAUAGGACGUUUGACCCUAUUUUGUUGGUUUCUAGGAUCGACGUAAUGAUUAAUAGGGAUAGUUGGGGGCAUUAGUAUUCAAUUGUCAGAGGUGAAAUUCUUGGAUUUAUUGAAGACUAACUACUGCGAAAGCAUUUGCCAAGGAUGUUUUCAUUAAUCAAGAACGAAAGUUAGGGGAUCGAAGACGAUCAGAUACCGUCGUAGUCUUAACCAUAAACUAUGCCGACUAGGGAUCGGAUGAUGUUAUUUUUUAAUGACUCAUUCGGCACCUUAC
rnacentral:rRNA from 1 species